UACGGGGGGGGCAAGCGUUGUUCGGAAUUACUGGGCGUAAAGGGCUCGUAGGCGGCCAACUAAGUCAGACGUGAAAUCCCUCGGCUUAACCGGGGAACUGCGUCUGAUACUGGAUGGCUUGAGGUUGGGAGAGGGAUGCGGAAUUCCAGGUGUAGCGGUGAAAUGCGCAGAUAUCAGGAGGAACACCGGUGGCGAAGGCGGGUCUCUGGGCCGAUACUGACGCUGAGGAGCGAAAGCGUGGGGAGCGAACAGG
rnacentral:rRNA from 1 species